AGACAUAGUGUUACUGAAGCGGUGGAAGUCCCAAAGUUUUUGGAUCUGCGCCAACAGUAAAGUGAUCAAAGCCAACAAGUGGUCCUUUCACGCUGCCAGUCCAAGCCUCACCCAGCAGCGGCAAUCAUUAACUUGUCCCUUCCUUACUGCAAUCAGCAAAGGAGUUUUACUAACAAGAAAUGGCUGGAACUGGAGUUUUUACUGACAUAGUUGAUGGAGAUGGCGUAUAUAAAUUCUACUCAGAGGGUGAGUGGAGGAAUUCUUCCUCUGGAAAAUCAGUAUCCAUCAUCAAUCCCACCACCAGAAAAACCCACUUUAAGGUUCAAGCUUGUACUCAAGAAGAGGUGAACAAGAUCAUAGAAACAGCAAAAACAGCUCAGAAAUCAUGGGCAAAGACUCCACUGUGGAAAAGGGCCGAAUUGCUUCACAAAGCAGCAGCAAUCUUGAAAGAGCACAAAGCGCCCAUUGCAGAGUGCCUGGUCAAAGAGAUUGCAAAACCGGCUAAGGAUUCAGUGACUGAAGUGGUGAGGUCCGGAGAUUUGGUGUCCUAUUGUGCUGAAGAAGGGGUUAGGAUUCUCGGAGAAGGAAAGUUUUUGGUUUCAGAUAGUUUUCCUGGGAAUGAAAGAACCAAAUACUGCCUCACUUCAAAGAUUCCACUUGGGGUGGUUCUAGCAAUCCCCCCCUUCAACUAUCCUGUGAAUCUUGCUGUGUCAAAAAUUGCUCCUGCAUUAAUUGCUGGAAACUCCCUCGUGCUUAAGCCUCCAACCCAGGGUGCUGUAGCUGCACUUCACAUGAUCCAUUGCUUUCACUUGGCUGGUUUUCCCAAGGGCCUUAUUAGUUGUGUUACUGGAAAGGGUUCAGAGAUUGGUGACUUCCUCACAAUGCAUCCAGGGGUCAACUGUAUAAGCUUUACAGGUGGAGACACUGGAAUAGCAAUCUCAAAGAAGGCAGGCAUGAUCCCUCUUCAGAUGGAAUUGGGUGGCAAAGACGCUUGUAUCAUUUUAGAAGAUG
rnacentral:misc_RNA from 1 species